UCGUUAAUUUAAAAUACUUUUUUUGUGUAAAUUUUUUUUAUGAGGU
rnacentral:sRNA from 1 species